rnacentral:misc_RNA from 1 species
CAGCUUCGGUGUCUCAGCGAAUCCCUCUCUUUCCGUCUCUCGCACGCGCACACCCGGUCUCUCGCAGCACAUCGCACCGAUAUCGCAUCUUCGUGUCCGCACCGGCCAUCGCCGCGAGUAUCACACGUCCGUCGACUGGCGUGCAUCCGCGUGGGAACUCCACUGUGUGAAAUUCCGCUAGCCGGCUCACCUCGCCGUCGCCGUGCUUGUGCUCGUGCUCGUUCUCGUUCUCGUUGCCGUCGUCGUCGUCCGUGCUUGGAGCGAGUGAGUGCGCGCGCGCGCAUACGUCGGUGUUCUCUCUCUCUCGGGCAGUCUCGCCGUCGCGGAAUAGCCGGAUUCGCGGCACGUUUUAACGUGAUACGCGCGGGGUCCUCUACUGGCCAGCAUGUCGGCGCAAGUGCAGGGCACCCUCCUCGACGUCCUCAAGAAGAAGAUGAGGCAGACGAAGGAGGAGAUGGAGAAGUACAAGGACGAGUGCGAAGAGUAUCAGAGGCGGCUGCAGGUGGAAGUGAUGCGUCGCGAGGAAGCGGAGUCCGAGGUCGCCGCCUUGAAUCGCCGCAUCCAGCUGUUGGAGGAGGACCUCGAGAGAUCGGAGGAGCGUCUCGCCACUGCCACUGCCAAACUGGCGGAGGCCUCGCAGGCUGCCGAUGAGAGCGAACGCGCCCGCAAGAUUCUCGAGAAUCGCAGCUUGGCGGACGAAGAGCGCAUGGACGCCCUCGAGAAUCAGCUGAAGGAGGCCAGGUUCCUCGCCGAAGAAGCCGACAAGAAAUACGAUGAGGUCGCCCGUAAAUUGGCCAUGGUUGAGGCCGAUCUCGAACGCGCCGAGGAGCGUGCGGAGGCCGGAGAGUCCAAGAUCGUCGAACUUGAGGAGGAGUUGCGUGUCGUCGGCAAUAACUUGAAGUCCCUCGAGGUCUCCGAGGAGAAGGCCAACCAACGCGAGGAGGAAUACAAGAACCAAAUUAAGACUCUCACUACCCGUCUAAAGGAGGCUGAGGCGCGUGCUGAGUUCGCGGAGAGAUCCGUGCAGAAGCUCCAGAAGGAGGUUGACAGGCUCGAAGAUGAGAUGGUGAUCGAGAAGGAGAAGUUCAAGGAGGUCGGGGACGGCCUGGAUUUGGCAUUCUUCGAGCUCUACGGCGUCUAACCUAAAGCGGCUGCUGCUACUAACCGUCCUCCUACGCCUCUAACGCUUCGACGAACCGAAAACAUGCGAAAAGCAAAAAAAAAAAAAAGAGAAAAAAAGACAAAAGAACGGAAUCGAACACACCUAUCUCUCUCAUACAAAUCUAGCUUGCACUCCUAACACAUACGCCGUAAGUUGCCCAUUUAUGCUUCUUUCAAAAGCCCGCUCGCUGCUAAUAAUAAAUAACAACCACUUUGCUUUUCCUCACGUCCGCCGCGGGAGGAAUUUCUCGUCUCGUCGCGUUCCGAGCGAGCCCGCGAAAUUCCACUCUCGCGCGUCGCUCGGAACCUCCGCGAGGCUGCGUCUUGAUAAUCGAUUCAGGUGCUAAAUUCGUAGAGACGCGUCGAGACGAGCUCGUCCACGAGAAGGAGAAGUACAAAUACAUCUGCGACGACCUGGACCUCACCUUCACCGAGUUGGUUGGUUAAAUCGGCUGUCAGAUCGGCCGUCGAGGCGCCGUCCGUCCGCUGUCGAAUCACUUGGCGGUACAUCGCAUCGUGAUUUCGCGCGAUUCGAUCGCGGCCGCAGCCGCGACAACGGCCCGCCGAUAAUACAUCGCCGAUCGAACAUUUUUGUUAACGUAACUAAAGUCUGCGUACGCACAUUGAUAUUAUUAUUAUUAUUAUUAUUAUUAGCAUCAUCAUCAAAAUACGUUCCGCGUUCAGAGGCUCUUUCUUUCCUUUUUUAUUUCAACCGACGAUUCCGCGACGCACCUCUUCGGCUUGCUUCAACGUUCGUUCGUUCGUCCGUCUCGAGAACAUCGCGCUUCUCUCACGCAAAAGUAAAACUCUCCAAAUUACCAGCGACAAUUUCUAGUCAUAGCCAGCAAGUGUCGCGUUGUCGCGUCGAUCGGCACGGCAUCGGGCGAAGCCACGAGAGGCGGGGGGAGACCCUCGCGCCGCCUGAAAAUCGUCGACACUGCGACUCUUGUUUUCGAAUAUUCCACAGAGGAGAACAAAUAAAAAACAUGAACAUAGAAUCUUGAAA